CCUCCAUCAUUGGAGAUCCCUCUUCCACUCUUUCUUUUGCUCGAUUUUUUCUCAUUCCUUGCUCUCGGAUGGAAGGCUUUGUGCCGAUGAGAUUGUGGCCCAAAACACCAUCAAGAGUAAGGUAAUCCAUCGAGAAACUCGCUCUUUGAUUUCUUCUUAGAAUUUUGCCAAGAUUUUUGAGUUUUUAUCUAUUGAUUUUUAGAGUAAAAAUCAGAUUU
rnacentral:lncRNA from 1 species